CCAAUGGGUACCACAGAUUUGCAAUAAAGAUCCCAUGUCAUAGUCACAGGUUCAACAACCUUAAACACUUUAACAAGAAGAUAAGCCAAAGAAGAACAAAAACCCAUGUGAAUUAUUGUUAGUGAAAUGGGGUAUGGCCAAUUGUAUAACUUUCUAUCCAGGAUGUACUUGUUGUACACAAUCACAGUGAUCAUGUGAAUUAUUGUUAGUGAAAUGGGGUAAGGCCAAUUGUACAACUUUCUAUCCAGGAUGUACUUGUUGUACACAAUCACAGUGAAAGAGAGAAAGAUCCAAAUUGCAACAUAGGUGUAUGAAAGUAAGAUCUUUUUCACAACCCCUUCACUC
rnacentral:lncRNA from 1 species